UGAAUACGAGAUGCUACGGCGUCGAAGCAGUCUAUGUCAUACUUCCAAGAAAAGCUUGCACUGUCAUAAACAAAUAAUGCCUGUACCAUAACCGACACAGGUGGGUAGGUAGAGUAUACUAAGGGGCGCGAGAUAACUCUCUCUAAGGAACUCGGCAAAAUGACUCCGUAACUUCGGGAGAAGGAGUGCCUUAUUUAUAAGGUUGCAAUAACAAGAUCCAAGCAACUGUUUACCAAAAACACAGGUCUCCGCUAAGUCGUAAGACGAUGUAUGGGGGCUGACGCCUGCCCAGUGCCAGAAGGUUAAAGAAGUUGGUUAGCAUCCGCGAAGCUGAUAACUGAAGCCCUGGUGAACGGCGGCCGUAACAAUAACGGUCCUAAGGUAGCGAAAUUCCUUGUCGGGUAAGUUCCGACCCGCACGAAAGGCGUAAUGAUUUGGAUACUGUCUCGGAGAGGGGCUCGGUGAAAUAGACUUGUCUGUGAAGAUGCGGACUACCUGCACCAGGACAGAAAGACCCUAUGAAGCUUUACUGUAACCUGAAAUUGAAAUUGGACUUUACUUGCGCAGUAUAGGUGGGAGGCGUUGAGAAUAUUCUUGCGGGAUUAUUGGAGCCAUCAGUGAGAUACCACUCUUGUAAUGUUAGAUUUCUAACUUUGUAUCAUUAUCUGGUCAAAGAACAGUUUCAGGCGGGCAGUUUGACUGGGGCGGUCGCCUCCUAAACGGUAACGGAGGCGCACAAAGGUUUCCUCUGAACGGGUAGAAAUCGUAUCUAGAGUGUAAAGGCAUAAGGAAGCUUGACUGUGAGACCUACAAGUCGAGCAGGGACGAAAGUCGGUCUUAGUGAUCUGACGGUGCUGAGUGGAAAGGCCGUCACUCAACGGAUAAAAGUUACUCUAGGAUAACAGGCUGAUCUCCCCCAAGAGUUCUCAUCGACGGGGAGGUUUGGCACCUCGAUGUCGGCUCAUCGCAUCCUGGGGCGGUAGUAUGUCCCAAGGGUUGGGCUGUUCGCCCAUGAAAGCGGUACGCGAGCUGGGUUCAGAACGUCGUGAGACAGUUCGGUCCAUAUCCGGUGUAGGCGUUAGAAUAUUGAGAGGAGCCUUCUUUAGUACGAGAGGACCGAGAAGGACAUACCUCUGGUGUACCAGUUAUCGUGCCAACGGUAAACGCUGGGUAGCUAUGUGUGGAGUGGAUAACCGCUGAAAGCAUCUAAGUGGGAAGCCCACCUCAAGAUAAG
rnacentral:rRNA from 1 species